CCUACGGGUGGCAGCAGUGGGGAAUAUUGGGCAAUGGGCGCAAGCCUGACCCAGCAACGCCGCGUGAAGGAAGAAGGCUUUCGGGUUGUAAACUUCUUUUGUCAGGGAACAAAGACUGGGACGCGUCCCCGGAUGAGUGUACCUGAAGAAAAAGCAUCGGCUAACUCCGUGCCAGCAGCCGCGGUAAUAGGGAGGAUGCGAGCGUUAUCCGGUUUUUUUGGGUUUAAAGGGUGUGCAGGGGGUCUGUUAGGUUGGCGGUCAAAGCCGGGGGCUAAACCCCGGCCCGCCGUUGAAACUGGCAGUCUCGAGUUGGGGAGAGGUAUGCGGAAUGCGCGGUGUAGCGGUGAAAUGCAUAGAUAUCGCGAAGAACUCCGAUUGCGAAGGCAGCAUGCCGGCUCCACACUGACGCUGAGGCACGAAAGCGUGGGUAUCGAACAGGAUUAGAUACCCUAGUAGUC
rnacentral:rRNA from 1 species